rnacentral:misc_RNA from 1 species
AGACAACAGAGACCUCAUAGGUAAACACAGGCUUCCUAGCCAAGGAAGUCACUGGAAAUUGCAGAUCAUCUUAGCCGUCAAUGGAGAAUAGGGUGGUAGGCUUCUUCGACGACUCACUCGAAGCUUAGGGUCUGCCAUUUGUUUGCCGGCUCAAAUAUUCAAUGAGAUACCACCGACUCAGAAAAUAUGGAGGUCCUCAUAUGCAUCUACCAAAGCCCAUCCGAUGAUUUGAGAUAGCACUUGCAAGAAAUACAACAAAGCACAAUACCACAAAAAAAUGGCACCCCCAAAAGGCACUUCAUAUGCACACCCUUCUGCAAUCAAAUUAAAAAGGCUAUCUACAUUCCAGCCUAGAGCUAUCUACAUAUGCAGUUCCAUGGCUAAUUCUUAACAAGUG